UCUAUUUUGAUCAAAGACUUUCUGAAUCAUCAAUCGAUCGGAGUAAGUAGAAUGCGAUCUCUUCUUAUCAAGAGUGAUCGAUUCCAUAUUGAUCUAUUCACAAUCUCCAUACACAUUCUACCAUUUCUAGAUCACCCUGUAUAUGACUAAGUCAUGAAUGAGUAUGAAUUAAAAUAUGGAUUCAUAUAUAUAAGGUUCUAUGAUAGUCUC
rnacentral:lncRNA from 1 species